UAAUAACGCAUGUGCACUCUGUAGGU
rnacentral:misc_RNA from 1 species